UUUAUUAAAAGCAUGAAUAUUAUUUUUUGACUUUAGCUAUGAAUAUUGUUUUUUUUUAUAUCAAAUAUCUAAUUAGUGAUGUUUAUGGCCGGUGAUGGAAACCGGCUAGGGAGGAUGCCUGGAAUACACUUGUUGUUAACACAUGUGCAUGAAUACGGUGGCAGGUGGCACUGUAUGCAUCCGAAUUUCUUGUAGCAAUUCCUCGACUCUAAGCAUCCACAUCCCACUAUGGGCCCUCUUGCUUCCGCACUAUCUGUCGAAAACCAACACGAAAACGAAAAAAUGUUAUUGUCAGCAAAGUGUUAAGAAUCGUAGCAUUUUAAUAAUUUGAAUUGUUAAGAGAGUAUCGUAACUGAUAAAAUAAUUUAAUUUUUAGUAACACGAAAGAGAUUUGAACAGAGCGAUUACAGUGAGAAAUAAGGAAGAUUGCCGCAAGCAAGAGAGCUAAGAGUGAAGUGUUCUUCAUUAUUUUGUGUACACUAAUUUUUUAAGAGUGAGAUGUGUGAUGAUUUG
rnacentral:lncRNA from 1 species